rnacentral:lncRNA from 1 species
GCUAUUUUCAAAAUCCACUCUUAAUCAAAUGCACCUAGAAAUAAAUUAAAGAAAAAAAAUGAAAAUUUUCUUCUUCAACAUAGCAAAAUUAAGUGAAACCCGGUGAAAAAAAAAAUUAGAACUAAAUGAAACAAUAAAAAACUAAAGCACGAAACUUGUCUGCUUCUACAAAGCUUGAGACAAUAUUUUCGAGAUUAUAUCAAACAAUAUGAAAGUUCAUUAAAAAUACCAAAUAAAAAAAAGUUCAUUCUUUCUAAUACAUUGAUAAAUAGAAUGGGAC